rnacentral:lncRNA from 1 species
GUGCUUCCCACCCGAGGGGUCGUUGCAAGGCAAUUUUCACAGGUAGUGGUCGCUUUGUGGCUGUCGAAGUUAAAAAUGCAUGUUAAUGGUAUUGUAAUGAUGGAUCGCUGACCGUAAUAGAUAAGGUAUAUAUUGGAUAUUUUAAAGGUGUUUGAGAUGUUUGUUCGCUGAACACCAGUACAUCUACCUGUUUCACCAUCUGCUG